rnacentral:rRNA from 1 species
UACGUAGGUGGCAAGCGUUGUCCGGAAUUAUUGGGCGUAAAGCGCGCGCAGGCGGUCCUUUAAGUCUGAUGUGAAAGCCCACGGCUUAACUGAGGAAGUGCAUCCGAAACUGAGUAGCUAGAGUACGAAAGAGGGUCGCGGAAUUCCCGGUGUAGAGGUGAAAUUCGUAGAUAUCGGGAGGAACACCGGUGGCGAAGGCGGCGACCUGGGUCGAGACUGACGCUGAGGCGCGAAAGCGUGGGGAGCAAACAGG